UACAAUAAUCCCAGCCAUCAGCUGUUGUUUGUUUACCUCGCGUGGGGGAAGGGUGCUCCGAGCCUCCCCUUGUUAUCCACGUGUGCCCCUUGUUAUCUUCGUGCUCCCCGCCUUGUAGCCGUACCGUGGCGGGGCGCGUGGGCGUUGACAUCCUGAAGAUGUCAGGUCGCAACGCAUUGGACCAUCGGCGCACCUUCCAGAAAGCCAACCAGGUGGUGGAGUUGACCACACACCAUUCCCAAGGCUCAACACCACCAGCGAGGACAUCAACACCAGUCACCACCACCACCACCACCUUUCGCUCGUAACUGCUGCAACAAAAAACAGCAAGAACAACACCACCUUGAAAUGCACCACCACUCAACACCAUUCACCACCACCAUUGAAGCCAGAUCACACCACCACCACCAACACCAGGGUGCUCUAUGAAGGGUUUAGUGUCCAUGCCGUCAAGUCCAUCUCCCUCAGUCUGUUCUGGGACCAUUUUAGUGUCAGUUCUCUGUAUCCUUUCCAACUCCAGCACUUCUUCCCGCAAGCUGUUCCAUGUGUUAAUACUUCUGUGUGAAAAACUUUACUUCUUCCAGUCACUCAAUCAGGUUCCUUUAUUAAGUUUCUUUCCGUGUCCUCUCAGCCCCUGCGUUUCUGAUACUAAGAAGAGAUCACCUCUGUCCACCUCAUCAAACGGGGGGCUUCGCGAUGCAGUGGUUAGCACACUCGGCUCAUGGCCGAGAGAGUCCGGGUUCGAUUCCUGGGCGGAGUGGAAAAAUUUGGGCGGCUUUUCCGAUACCCUACGUAGCCCCUGUCCACCCAGCAGUGUACCAGGUAUUAAUCGGGGGUUGUGUCCUGUCUCCUGGGAUCUGUUCCCUUCUCCUAGAAUUCCUUUCCCUGCUGUCUCUCUCCGGCAUAUGACCACAGAUGUUGCACCCACUAAACCAAACUUUCCAACUUUUUCCUCAUCAAACUUAUUUACCAACCUGUACAGUGUGAUCAGAUCUCCUCUCUCCCUUCUUUGUUCCAGUGUCGUCAAGUCCACCUCCCUCAAUCUGUCUUCAUACGUCAUAUUCCAGAGUUCUGGGACCAUUUUAGUUGCAAUUCUCUGUCUUGAGUCCAACAUAAUCUGCCUUUGUGCAGUUUUCCUUUUUUCCUCAUAUGCCUCAUCUUGGUAUUCACAUCCUUCCAUAGUUUUCAUCUGUCAUAGUUGAUGGCCACUCUCUCCUAAGGGGCACUCGUCACUGACUCCUUCAUCUAACUCAACAUUUUUUGUGAAAAUUAGCUCAAGUCUUGAUGGUUGGUCAUCCCCUCUCAGCCUUGUUUCUCCUUUAACCCACUGCAUCAACAGGUUAUCACAUCAGAUUGGCUACAGUGAAGGUCGUGGCAGCCAGUCAGAGAGUGUACUGAAACUCCUGCUGUGAGCUGCUACUGAUGCCUGCGCCCUCACCACCCCUGUGAAGGAUGCCCAGCUGACCCAACCCUCCACGGUGAGUCUGUCCCACUUAAUGUUGCAAGAGUUAUCCGGUAUACCUUCACUCUCUCAUGCUUUCCCUAUGUCCUGUGCUAUCCAACUUAAUGAUGUGAGAGUUAACUGGUGUUUUCACUAUCAUCUUUUUAGAGAGAGUGAUUAAAAAAACUAAUGCAAGAGUCACGGUGUUUUUUGUUCCUGUUGAAUGCCUGGACCUAUCAGCUGUCUUGUGCUGUCCAGCUUAUUAAUGCAAGAGUCAUGGUGUUUUUUGUUCCUGUUGGGUGCCUGGACCUAUCAGCUGUCUUGUGCUGUCCAGCUUAUUAAUGCAAGAGUCAUGGUGUUUUUUGUUCCUGUUGAAUGCCUGGACCUAUCAGCUGUCUUGUGCUGUCCAGCUUAUUAAUGCAAGAGUCAUGGUGUUUUUUGUUCCUGUUGGGUGCCUGGACCUAUCAGCUGUCUUGUGCUGUCCAACUAAUUAAUGCAAGAGUCAUGGUGUCUUCAUCAUCAUCAUCAUCAUCAUUUCCUGGCCGCCUGCUCCUAGGAGCUCCCACCAGGGGAUGGCCACGGCAGAAGAGCUUCCAACUUUCUCUAUCCAGACACUCCCUCCUUGCCUGCUCAAAGAUCUUUCCCCCCUCUCCCUAACAUACUCUUGCACCCUAUCCCUCCAUUUCACUGGAGGUCCAACAUUCCCUCCCUCUGUCUCACUCACACACACGCUUCUGGUCAUCUUACUCUUCUCCAUUUGCUCCAUGUGGCCAAACCACUUUAAAGUCUGUCGCUUCACUUCUUCCACCACUCCACACUUCUUCCCUUCACCCCUGUGACACAUUCCAAAACACACUUUCAUUACUCAUUCCAUCCAUUCUUCUCACACCACAAGCACUCCUCAAAUAACUCAUUUCCACUGCCUGCACUCCAGACCUUCUUUCCAGGCCCAUAUGUGAGGGUUGGUACUAUUAUUGUAUUUCUCAAAUCCCUCUUUACCUCCAUGCUCACACUUCUGCCAUUCGUCCCAAAGACCCUGCCACCCUUCUUCCUUGCAAUGCCCUUUCUCUUAUCUCUCCCUCCAUGCUUACACAUAACUGAUCCAAGCUACUCAAACUCAUUGACCUCCUCCAUUUCUUCGCCAUUCAAAAUUAUUUUGCAUUCUUUUUCACAUUCAAUUCCCACUCUCUAUGGGCAUACAAAAUCUACAACCUCACUUCUCACAAACCAUCACUUUACUUUUGUUGACAUUUAUUUUCAGCUUUUUCCUGUUACAGACACUAUCAAAAACACUGACCAUUUUUGUAGGUCACUUUCAUUUUCAGCAAUGAGCACCGUGUCAUCAGCAAACAGUAUUGAAUUCAUAUACCCACUUCCUUCCCUCAUCGAACAGUCUUACUCCAACUUUGCCCUUCAUUUCUCUAAUGACACCAUCCAUAUAAAUAUUGAAUAACCAUGGUGACAUGAUGCACCCUUGUCUUAAGCCCACUUUUAUCUCAAAAAGUUCA